ensembl:snRNA
AAAAUGGGCUUCUGUCAUGAUUGGCGCACAUGGGGCAACUCAACUGCUCUUUGUGUGGAAUCAGCAUCAAGAGAUUUCAGAAGCAUAAUUUUUUGGUACCUGGGCAGCUGGUGAUCAUUGAUCCUGGCACCUGU